ACCAACGGAGAGGUGACCAGACAUCAACGGAUGAAUGGGAGAAAGAGAUACAACCAUACGUCAACUGACGUCAACGGACGCAAGGGAGAAGCUCGACGUUUAUCGACACCAACGGAGAGGUGACCAGACAUCAACGGAUGAAUGGGAGAAAGAGAUACAACCAUACGUCAACGGACGAAUGGGAAAAACUCAACGUUUAUCGAAACCAACGGAGAGGUGAC
rnacentral:lncRNA from 1 species